GGCUCCAUGGUGCAGCAGUAGCAUGUCUGACUCCAGAUCAGAAGGUUGUAUGGUCAAAUUGCACUGGGGUCA
rnacentral:tRNA from 1 species